rnacentral:rRNA from 1 species
UAACGCGUGGGAACCUGCCUUUAGGUUCGGAAUAACAGUUAGAAAUGACUGCUAAUACCGGAUAAUGUCUUCGGACCAAAGAUUUAUCGCCUUUAGAUGGGCCCGCGUUAGAUUAGAUAGUUGGUGGGGUAAUGGCCUACCAAGUCUACGAUCUAUAGCUGGUCUGAGAGGAUGAUCAGCCACACUGGGACUGAGACACGGCCCAGACUCCUACGGGAGGCAGCAGUGGGGAAUAUUGGACAAUGGGCGAAAGCCUGAUCCAGCAAUGCCGCGUGAGUGAUGAAGGCCUUAGGGUUGUAAAGCUCUUUUACCAGGGAUGAUAAUGACAGUACCUGGAGAAUAAGCUCCGGCUAACUCCGUGCCAGCAGCCGCGGUAAUACGGAGGGAGCUAGCGUUGUUCGGAAUUACUGGGCGUAAAGCGCACGUAGGCGGCUUUUCAAGUCAGGGGUGAAAUCCCGGGGCUCAACCCCGGAACUGCCCUUGAAACUGGAUGGCUUUAAUACUGGAGAGGUGAGUGGAAUUCCGAGUGUAGAGGUGAAAUUCUUAUAUAUUCGGAAGAACACCCAUGGCCAAGGCGACUCACUGGACAGUUAUUGACGCUGACGUGCGAAAGCGUGGGGAGAAACAAGAUUAUAUACCCUGGUAGUCCA